GAUGAAAGAACGUAGCGAAAUGCGAUAAGUAGUGUGAAUUGCAGAAUUCAGUGAAUCAUCGAAUCUUUGAACGCACAUUGCGCCCCUUGGUAUUCCAUGGGGCAUGCCUGUUCGAGCGUCAUUUGUACCUUCAAGCUCUGCUUGGUGUUGGGUGUUUGUCUCGCCUCUGCGUGUAGACUCGCCUCAAAACAAUUGGCAGCCGGCGUAUUGAUUUCGGAGCGCAGUACAUCUCGCGCUUUGCACUCAUAACGACGACGUCCAAAAGUACAUUUUUACACUCUUGACCUCGGAUCAGGUAGGGAUACCCGCUGAACUUAAGCAUAUCAAUAAGCGGAGGA
rnacentral:misc_RNA from 1 species